rnacentral:rRNA from 1 species
UACGUAGGGGGCAAGCGUUAUCCGGAUUUACUGGGUGUAAAGGGGGCGCAGGCGGCAUGGUAAGUCUGAUGUGAAAACCCGGGGCCCAACCCCGGGAGUGCAUUGGAAACUGCCAGGCUGGAGUGUCGGAGGGGUAAGCGGAAUUCCUAGUGUAGCGGUGAAAUGCGUAGAUAUUAGGAGGAACACCAGUGGCGAAGGCGGCUUACUGGACGACUACUGACGCUGAGGCUCGAAAGCGUGGGGAGCAAACAGG